rnacentral:pre_miRNA from 1 species
UCUUCAUUCUUCGCACUAUCUCACCGGUUAGAGAUGCGAGAGAGUGUGCAAAAAUGAGGAGA